rnacentral:piRNA from 1 species
UCUGAAUUGUUGAUUUUACUUACA